AUGUCCCGCGAAGUGCACCGCGAGGACGGGAGUGGAGUACCCCGGGAAAACACCGUGUUCUCGAAGCUCCAAGGCACCCGGCCGGGUGGGCGUGGUGCCGCCAUGACGCAGAAGCCGGGCGCGCGGGGCGGGGCCGAGGAGGAGGCUGGAGAAUGGCAGUUGUCGGGAGGAGCCGUCGAGAUCGGGCCGCGGAGGAGGAGUCCGGGAAACGAGUCGCCUGGACCCCUCCUCCGUAUCCACCCCUCUACCCCAUCUGAGAGGCGCCUCCGCCCGCCGGACCCCUCCCCCCGUACUUCCUCCUCUUACUGCUGCUAUUGCUGCCGCCGCCGCCGCCUCCGCCGCCACCGGGAGAUGGGCCUGGCCCCAGUAGGCAGCGGUACCCUGGCCCUUGCUGCUGCUGUCGCCGCCACGCCUGAAUUGAAGCCGGCGGGGGACCCCGAGGGAGGGAAGCGGGGGUCAGAAGGGGAAAGUCCCCUGAAGAGGAGCGUGCUGAGAGCCGUCAGCGGCCACGGAGGUGUUCUAUGGGGGUCCUGGAGUUCUGUCCCUCAGCCCCUCUCCUGUUGAACCUUGAGAAUCGGGGUUCCCAGCCCCAGGUCCCACCGUGCAUCACGCCUCUCUCUACCUUGGUGAUUCUCGUUUUUCCUACCCGCUACCCUAACAUUGCUUUCGUUUCCUAGCUCCGUUAGGGGGAAGAACACGGCAGUAAAGUAAUUUUGGUACAUAGUCAAUAGAGAGGGGAAGUAGUUUAGGUUAUCUAUACAUAGGCGAAGUGUUUACUUUUCUCCAUUGAGAUUCAGAGAUGGGAAUCUGUAGGAAAGAAGCCAUAUUCGAUUUUCCCACUUAACUACCCUGAAUUUCUCAUGUAUUCUACUUAUAGUUAACCUUUCAAAGUGUUUAUAGUGCUCCCAUAAUUUUCAAACAGGUUUUGAAUAGAAAUAGGAGCAGCAAAUGUUAGUAAGCAAUAGAGAAAUAGUCAUCUAUCUGAUCAAACCUUCUUCUUUUUUGGUUAUCUUAAAUCAACUGAAAAGUUUUCUCCCCAUGACGUUUUUUCUUUGAGAAAGUUACAAGCCAUUUUUUGUCUUUAAACAUUCAUGUAGAUGUACAAUCCUACUGGUAUCCAUUUACAUUUUUUAGUUUUAUGAACAAGGACAUUGCUAAAGUUUUGUUUCCAAUUUUUCCACUCAUAUAUUAGGAUCACAACCUGGGCCUUGCCUUUCUUGCAAAAAGUACAAACAGUACACUGUAUUGGUGAGCUCACAAGGGAAAGACUUCAAUGACUAGCUGGCUACUUUGAAAUAAACAUUAUUAUUAAGCUAUUCA
rnacentral:lncRNA from 1 species